CUGUAGAGAGAAAAAGGAGAGAGCAGUGACCCCACCUGGUCUCAAACACGGGUCUCCAAACUAAACAUGCAACUUGUGUUUGUGUGUGUGAAGUACAUUGUCAUCUUGAGAGCCCCUUCUCUGGCAUCACUCUCAUCCUGCUCUUUACCCUCAACGUUUUCUUGGUAAUCUGGACUCAGAAUCUUCUUGAAUCUCUUCAGCUCAUUCUUCACAAAGUCCAUUAUCUUCUCCUCAAGCACCUGGAGCUGUUGUGUACCACUGCUGUCGGUCUGAGUCUCCGCCCUUCCUCUGGCUGCUCCUGGUUCUCACCUGCUCACCUCUCACCUGCUUCCACUGGUG